rnacentral:rRNA from 1 species
UACGUAGGGUCCGAGCGUUGUCCGGAAUUAUUGGGCGUAAAGAGCUCGUAGGCGGUUUGUCGCGUCUGCCGUGAAAGUCCGGGCUCAACUCCGGAUCUGCGGUGGGUACGGGCAGACUAGAGUGAUGUAGGGAGACUGGAAUUCCUGGUGUAGCGGUGAAAUGCGUAGAUAUCUGGAGGAAUACCGGUGGCGAAGGCGGCAUCCUGGACCAUAACUGACGCUGAGGCGCGAAAGCUAGGGGAGCAAACGGG